rnacentral:lncRNA from 1 species
GGCAGGAUGGGAUGCUCCACCAGUACCCAAACUUCAGCGGUAGAUACGACUCGACCAAGCGCUAAGCCCGAGGAGAGCAACGGAGUCAGCACUACAGGAGCGGCUAAUGAAAAUGGGAACGUAGCUGAGGACAGUGAAACUAUUCCGGACCAGACACCUGCUGAGGGAAGCGAUGCCAAGCCUGCAGAUGAGCCUGCCGUGACAGCCGCGUCUGCAGACACCACAGCUGCAACUCCACCAGCAGCAGAAGAGUCUCAGGACGCAGCCGGCAGCUCGCCUGAUGACACUUCAGCAGCAGCAGGAGACAGCACCGCUGAGACAGCAGCAAGCUCCUCAGAGGCUGAAGCUCCAGCCCCAGAGCCAGAAAAGGGAGAGGCCGGGGCGACUGACUCAGAGCCCAAAACAGACGAGACACCUGCUCCCAGUGAGUGACGUGCGACAUGACCGACUGCACAGAGGAGUUUAUCUGCAUGCAUGAGUGAAAGUAUGUCCGUGUGUGUGUGUGUGUGUGAGAAAGACAUCGUCUUGUUGCCAAGAUCCAGACCCCGUGGAAACCACUUUGAGUCUGGGUGCUCAGUCACCACUGUGCCUUCUUCCUCCUCCUGGAUGUCUGCAGUCUCUCCUCUUAGACUGUGAAUAGAGUUCAACAGCACUUAGGUUUGUUUAUCUGUAACAGGUAGUAAACAGCUGAGAGAAGCUUAGAUUACUAUUUAUUAUCUGUAAUGAAAUCACCAUAAACUGUAUGUCCUUAACUUAUUCUUGAAACCUAAGAGUUUGUUUCUGAACUGUUCUAUAAGUCUGUGAAAAAUAAAGCCAAAGUAUAUUAGAUAUUAGAAGACAUUAUAUUUGUUUUGGGGGGAUGAGGGGUAGCUAGCUUUGAUUUUAUUAUCAUGUUUAAAGUAGGAGAAAAUCUCAGAGGGUUUUUUCCUGAUGUGUCAUGAUUUUUAGUAUUCCCAAAAAUCUGUAAUUAGUAAUAGGCUGUUGAAAAAUUAAAAAGAUCACCUUAAAAUAAAACCCAGUACACAUAUUCUCUGUGUUUUAAUUUGAUGCAGGAUGAAAGCAAACAUGUCACACUGUGACAGCAUUUUUUAUUUAUUUAAUGAGUGAAAUUAUCAAACCAGAAGCCAAGAGGAGGUUCAGAUGAUGUUGGGUCUUUUCCAUCCGAGUGUCCAGUCCUACUGGAUCCCUACUCUCUGUUUAAUGAGCAGCCUCUGAGGUGUUAACAAAUUAAUGGGGUUUUUUUCCCCAACUUUAAUUUUUAUUAGUUUUAGUUAGUAUUGAAAACGAUACAGUAAAGAAAAUCACAAACAAACAGUCUGGAGUUGACAUUUCUUUUUCCACCUUCUAUCACAUGCAAAUCUCUUUUUAUGUCGUGCCACAUGCCGUUUUUGGUGCCACUUAAAAAUGCUUUCCACUUCCUCCAUCGUCUAUCAUACUUACACCCCAUCAGUCUAAUACUGAAUGUAAUUUUUUCCAUCUCUGAGAUACCUUCUACAAUCCUAAUCCAAUCUUGUUGGGUGGGAGGGUCUGGGUGUAACCAAUUCUUUGUGAAUGCUUCCUUUUUUGCGGCUAGAAUUAUUUUUACUAGAUACAUGUCCUCCUUUUGUACCAGUUCCUUUAUGUUUCUAAGGUACAUCACUUGACAGGUGUUUGGGAGUGCAUAACCCAGAAUAUUAUCCAUGGUCAUUUUAAGGUCUUCCCAAUACUUUUUUAUUUUUAUGCACUUCCAAAAUACAUGUGAGUGAUCAGCUUCUGUUUCUCCACACAGUCUCCAACAUUUCUGUGGACUUGAGAUCCGUUUACUUUUAAUUUGGGGUGUAAUGAAAAAACGCGUCAAAUUUUUCCAGCAAAAUUCCCUCCACAACGGCGAAUUCGUUGUACUGUGUUGUAUUUCACACAUACUGACCCAUUCCUUCUCUGUUAUAGUUAUGGUCAGUUCAGCUUCCCAUUUCUUUUUAAGGUAAAAGGUUGUAUCCUGUCUAUCUUCUUCUAAUGAUCUGUAGAAGGUGGAAAUUGCUUCGAAUUGUUUUUGUUCAUAGCAAUUGUUUACUAGUAACAACUGAAUGUUGCUCUGCUGUAAAUUUAAAUAUUGAAACACUGAAAAAGACUGAAAAAGAAAAAGACAGUGAAAUUCAACGUGGCUCUUCGGGUGUUCUCUGGAAAUACAAUCAGGCUUCCACAGUGAAUCUAUAAUGACACUUGGUGGCGCUACAGCUUGUUAGUGAUGCGGCCGGCUAGUCUGGAGUCGGAGAGAGGACCGAGAACAGCGACUGCCUCAAUUUCCACCAGCCCACCCUGAGGAGAAAAGGAGAAGCAGAUUGAGGCAAAAUAUGAAAUGAUAAUAUUGUCCAAAAAUGAACACACACAGUCAUUCAAAAACCCCCCUCAAAAGGUUUUUGUAUGAAAAACCAAGUGAUCCCCAUGAUUCUGUAGCUUGUAGAUCCACCUUUAGCAGCAAUAACUUGAAUUUGGCCUCGCUCUUUCUUACAGCAUUGCUUCAGUUCAUUGAAGUUUGCAGGUAUUUGUUUAUGCACAGCUCUCUUAAAGUCAGACUGAUAGGCAGCAUUAUUUGCUUCUAUAAGAUCAUUACAAAUGUUCCUGCUUGGCAUUUUGAUAACACACAGAUGAAUGAUCCAGACCAGCAAACUGCUAAAACUUUUGCUUUUACAAAGGUGUUCUCACUUGCUGAUCAUCAGAUAAUCCAGUGCAUUUGAUUAUCAGCACCUGUCUAUUUACCCUCUGCAUUCUCUGAAUUCAGCUUCUCUGAAACUGUGAGGAUGUGCUUUUUCCCCCCACAGCUGUUUCCCUGACGUUUAAUGUAAAUUUAACCCAAACUGAACAAACAGUGGAAAAACAGGACUGAAAAUGAGGAAAAUACGACUUCAGCUUAUUCAAUCAAUUUGACCGAAUCCAGAAGCAGCAUUUACACUACAUUUACUCAUUUGUCCAAAUAUCAGCAGAGUCUCCGCUGUGUGACAGUGUAAGCAAAUGA